CCUACGGGCGGCAGCAGUGAGGAAUAUUGGUCAAUGGGCGAGAGCCUGAACCAGCCAAGUCGCGUGAGGGAGUACUGCCCUAUGGGUUGUAAACCUCUUUUGUCGGGGAGCAAAAGCCGGACGUGUCCGGCUGUGAGAGUACCCGAAGAAAAAGCAUCGGCUAACUCCGUGCCAGCAGCCGCGGUAAUACGGAGGAUGCGAGAGUUAUCCGGAUUUAUUGGGGUUAAAGGGUGCGCAGGCGGAUGUUUAAGUCAGCGGUCAAAUCGUGGGGCUCAACCCCAUCCAGCCGUUGAAACUGGGGAUCUAGAGUGUGCGAGAGGUAUGCGGAAGGCGUGGGGUAGCGGUGAAAUGCAUAGAUAGCACGCAGAACCCCGAUGGCGAAGGCAGCAUACCGGUGCACAACUGACGCUCAGGCACGAAAGCGUGGGUAUCGAACAGGAUUAGAUACCCGAGUAGUC
rnacentral:rRNA from 1 species